rnacentral:rRNA from 1 species
CAGUAGCCACGGUAAAACGAAGGGGGCUAGCGUUGUUCGGAAUUACUGGGCGUAAAGCGCACGCAGGCGGCUCGAUAAAUUAGAAGUGAAAGCCUUGGGCUUAACCUGAGAAUUGCUUUUAAGACUGUCGAGCUAGAAUCCAGAAGAGGGUAGUGGAAUUCCGAGUGUAGAGGUGAAAUUCGUAGAUAUUCGGAAGAACACCAGUGGCGAAAGCGGCUCUCUGGCUUGUAACUGACGCUGAGGCUCGAAAGCGUGGGGAGCAAACAGGAUUAGAUACCCCGGUAGUCCCUGUCUCUUAUAC